GUAGAGGUGGCUCAGUGGUUAAGAGUGCUGGCUGCUCUUCCAGAGGUCCUGAGAUCAAAUCCCAGCACCCACA
rnacentral:tRNA from 1 species